CAAAACACUAAGCCCUCAAUGAAUAUUAUCCUAGCAACCUACUUUUCUACCCUAUCCUUACCUUUUGUGUCACUAUACCCCACUCCCUCUAGCAUGUAAGCUCAUUGAGCAGGGCCCUCAAUCCCUCUGUUCCUGUGCGCCCAACUUGUCUGGUUACAAAUACGUGUCUGUUAGUCCACCCAUUGUACAGCGCUACGGAACUUGUUG